rnacentral:lncRNA from 1 species
UGCAGCAUUUUUACAGUUUGGUGUGUGACAACUCACAGUAAACCUCUCAGUCAACGUAGAGAGGAAAUGAAUCCAGGCUCUUGCGGCCUGGUAUUUCAGUGAGCAUCACACUAUGCAGUUAAAUAUUUUCCACUCACUAUACUCACACCUCUCUGUCAGGCUAGUUUAGGAUAAGAAAAGCCCAUUCACCCUCAUUCAGACCACAGGAUGGAUAUAUUGUAUAAAGCAUGUUAUUCCCCCCAGUCCUCUCCCAUCUCCUUCUCUUCCUGUUGUGGCAGUGCCAGUUAAAGUUACAGCUGUUGGGAUUCAAGAUUCAUAUUCAAGUCAACGCCCUUAGCUGCACCUAGCCAUCAAAACAGAACAAAGUCCAUGAAGAGAGAGGAAUGGAGGGGAGAAGAUAAGGGGAAAGAGAAGGGGAGGGUGAUGUAGGAACAAGAGAGGAGGAUAAAGAUGGAAAGGGAGAGGGAGAGAAGAGCUGAGACUAUGAGAAGAGAACACAGCAGGUUAGCGGAGGGGGAAUAGAAUAAAUGAAAAGGGGAGUAGAGAAGAGCAGAGCAGAUCUCUUCCAUUAAUGUCUUCCUCCCUCCUCCCCUCCAUCUAUUCCUCUCCUCCUUUCCUCUCACCACCUGUGUUCUCACUCACCACUGUUUUCACACCCACCCUCCCUCCCUCCCUCCAUCCCUCCCUUUCUACCCCACUGCCACUUAAUCCUCCUCCCUCUCCCUCACCCCAGUCCUUCUCCCCUACCCCUUAUUUCACCUCUCACCCUUCUCACCACCCUCAUUAGCUCUCCCCGCACCCCCCUCUCUAACUCCCCUAUUCACCCUUCCUGAUGCCUACACACUUUCUGGUGCUUAAGUUAUUAGCCAGGCCUAAUCAAACUGCGACCAUGCAGUAUGGGGUGUGAUCUGUGAUGUUGUGUGUGUGUCUAUACUGUAUGUGUAGGGUGGGUGUGUCUUAAUGUGUAGAGUGGGUGUGUCUUAAUGUGUAGAGUGGGUGUGUCUAUGUGUAGGGUGGGUGAGUCUAUGUGUAGGGUGGGUGUGUCUAUGUGUAGGGUGGGUGUGUCUAUGUGUAGGGUGGGUGUGUCUUAAUGUGUAUGGUGGGUGUGUCUAUGUGUAGGGUGGGUGUGUCUAUGUGUAAGUGGGUGUGUCUAUGUGUAGGGUGGGUGUGUGCGCACACGCUUGUGUAUGUGUGUGUGUGUUAGGGCCGGGACAAUAACAGUAUCGCGAUCGAUAUCGUGGCAAGUAAACAAAACACAAAGUGGAUUUACCUUCUUUAGGAAAACAGCCUUAAUGUUGGAAACAAACUGUAUUAUGUUUUCAUCCAGAGUCACAUAUAUUUAUUUUCCAAGUUAUAACACACUAUACUUUACAUACAGCAGUUUUUGAAAGGCCUAAAGAGUUUGGUUUCAUUCGUGUUUUUAUUUUUGACAUGGAAAAAAUAUAACGAAACUGGUAUCGUCCCGGCUCUAGUGUGUGCUCGUGUGUAUGACUGCGAAAUGCAUGUGUGUAUAGGGUGAUGCUGGUGCAAAAUAGAUGUGGCCAGGCUGUGGCUUUUAGCCCAGCCUCCCAGCCUCCCAGCCUCCCAGCCUCCCAGCCUCUCAGCCUUUCAGCCUCUCUCCCAGCCAUCUAGCCUGCUAAUUGAACCCGUCCCAGGAGGAGGGAUCAUUCCACAUUUUUAAUUUGGCUUUUCCUCCUGAUAAAGCACCACCCCCACUCCUCCUUCUCUAUCACUCUCUACAUCGCCCUCUCUCUGUCA